rfam:Biomphalaria glabrata isolate BB02 unplaced genomic scaffold LGTN_random_Scaffold1320, whole genome shotgun sequence.
UAGCUGAGCAGUAAAGCGCUUGACUUCCGAACCGGGGAUCCCGGGUUCGAAUCCCGG